ACGAAGGUCCCAAGCGUUGUUCGGAAUAACUGGGCGUAAAGCGUGUGUAGGCUGCGCGGAAAGUCAAAUGUGAAAGCCCAGGGCUUAACCCUGGAACUGCAUUCGAUACUCCCGUGCUAGAGUAAUGGAGAGGUAAGUGGAAUUCCCGGUGUAGCAGUGAAAUGCGUAGAUAUCGGGAGGAACAUCAAUGGCGAAGGCAACUUACUGGACAUUUACUGACGCUCAGACACGAAGGCUAGGGGAGCGAAAGGG
rnacentral:rRNA from 1 species